ACAAUUCACAAUUAUACUCACCAAAAUUAAGAGAAUCGUUAAUUAAGGAGAGAAACCUUCGAAAACCAUGGAGAAAUCUCAAGUGAAAUCGGUCUUUUUCGUGGUUUUCUUGAUUUUCGCAGCUAGCACAUGUGAGACCUCGUUUUAUUUACAUUAUGAACUCGGUUUGCACUUAUUUUUCAUUCUUCUUCUUCACUGUUUUGCACGGUUAGUUGACUUUUGGAUUUGAAAUCACGACCGUGGAUUUCGGUGGAUGCAGGUGAGAAGAAUGUUGGAGUUGAAGGCUCACUGGACUUAACUCCAUGCAAGACGCAAUGCAAACCGCAUUGUCAAUGCAUCGACGGGGCGUGUAUUUGCCGUGAAGAUGAACUGUUGCUAGAUUCCAAGGGGCUCAGACCAAAUCUCAUAUGAUAUAACUACACCAUGGGAAAAGAAUCGAUUUAUGUUGAGUUGUGAUGUUAUGAACGUACUAAUAAGAUGAUUUCAUGAUAUAUAUGUGUUAGAGAUCGGCAUGCAAUAAAAGAUAAAACAAAACAGAGACUAUGGCUUAGAUGAACCCGAACGAGAAAUGUUGAGCGCACGAGGCAGAGAUCGUGACAGCAAACAAUACCGAAAGUAAAAUGCGAGGGC
rnacentral:lncRNA from 1 species